UACGUAGGGCGCAAGCGUUAUCCGGAAUUAUUGGGCGUAAAGAGCUCGUAGGCGGUUUGUCGCGUCUGCCGUGAAAGUCCGGGCUCAACUCCGGAUCUGCAGUGGGUACGGGCAGACUAGAGUGUGGUAGGGGAGACUGGAAUUCCUGGUGUAGCGGUGAAAUGCGCAGAUAUCAGGAGGAACACCGAUGGCGAAGGCAGGUCUCUGGGCAUUAACUGACGCUGAGGAGCGAAAGCAUGGGGAGCGAACAGG
rnacentral:rRNA from 1 species